AUGACUUUGAGUGUGGGAUAAACAACAAGCAUGUAACGUCACUAAAACAAAGAGGCUGCUUGUGCAUUAAAUAAACGAGCGGGAAAUAGACAAAAUGGAACAGCAGUAUUUUCCAAUUAAAAAAUUCAUUGCACUUAUAAGUCACCUGUCAGUGAGGGAAUCCUCAAAUUCCAAAGAAGCUUGCUCAGCCUCUAAAGACGACCUCUUAUUCCAGUGGAGACUACCAGCUGCAUUCACACACCAAUCACAGUGGAAAAAGCAAUUCAGGUCUGUUAAUAAGCAAGCAUUUCAUCUUCUACCUUAAAUAGUUCUGCAGAAUGGGGUCUCUCCAUAAUUCCAAGCUGAAGUUAUAGGACCCAUAGUUCUUUGCCUCGAUAAGAGAAUCCUUAGAAG
rnacentral:lncRNA from 1 species